GAUGAACGCUGGCGGCGUGCUUAACACAUGCAAGUCGAACGGGAAUUAUUUUAUUGAAACUUCGGUCGAUUUAAUUUAAUUCUAGUGGCGGACGGGUGAGUAACGCGUGGGUAACCUGCCUUAUACAGGGGGAUAACAGUCAGAAAUGACUGCUAAUACCGCAUAAGCGCACAGGACCGCAUGGUCCGGUGUGAAAAACUCCGGUGGUAUAAGAUGGACCCGCGUUGGAUUAGCUUGUUGGUGGGGUAACGGCCCACCAAGGCGACGAUCCAUAGCCGGCCUGAGAGGGUGAACGGCCACAUUGGGACUGAGACACGGCCCAGACUCCUACGGGAGGCAGCAGUGGGGAAUAUUGCACAAUGGGGGAAACCCUGAUGCAGCGACGCCGCGUGAAGGAAGAAGUAUCUCGGUAUGUAAACUUCUAUCAGCAGGGAAGAUAGUGACGGUACCUGACUAAGAAGCCCCGGCUAACUACGUGCCAGCCGCCGCCGUAA
rnacentral:rRNA from 1 species